rnacentral:rRNA from 1 species
AGGGAUUGCCUUAGUAACGGCGAGUGAAGCGGCAACAGCUCAAAUUUGAAAGCUGGCCCUUUUAGGGUCCGCGUUGUAAUUUGUAGAGGAUGAUUCGGCGAGGGCUCCCGCCUAAGUCCCCUGGAACGGGGCGUCAUAGAGGGUGAGAAUCCCGUAUGCGGUGGGUUGCCUUAGCCAUGUGAAUCUCCUUCGACGAGUCGAGUUGUUUGGGAAUGCAGCUCUAAAUGGGAGGUAAAUUUCUUCUAAAGCUAAAUACCGGCCAGAGACCGAUAGCGCACAAGUAGAGUGAUCGAAAGAUGAAAAGCACUUUGGAAAGAGAGUUAAAAAGUACGUGAAAUUGUUGAAAGGGAAGCGCUUGCAACCAGACUUGUCCGCAGUUGCUCAGCCGGUCUCCUGACCGGCGUACUCUUCUGCGGCCAGGCCAGCAUCAGUUCGGGCGGUCGGAUAAAGACCUCGGGAAUGUAGCUCCUCUCGGGGAGUGUUAUAGCCCGGGGUGGAAUGCGGCCAGCCUGGACUGAGGAUCUCGCUUCGGCAAGGAUGCUGGCGUAAUGGUUGUAAGCGGCCCGUCUUGAAACACGGACCAAGGAGUCUAACAUCUAUGCGAGUGUUCGGGUGUCAAACCCGUACGCGUAAUGAAAGUGAACGGAGGUGGGAACCCGCAAGGGUGCACCAUCGGCCGAUCCUGAUGUCUUCGGAUGGAUUUGAGCAAGAGCAUAGCUGUUGGGACCCGAAAGAUGGUGAACUAUGCCUGAAUAGGGUGAAGCCAGAGGAAACUCUGGUGGAGGCUCGCAGCGGUUCUGACGUGCAAAUCGAUCGUCAAAUUUGGGUAUAGGGGCGAAAGACUAAUC